rnacentral:rRNA from 1 species
GACGUAGGGUGCGAGCGUUGUCCGGAAUUAUUGGGCGUAAAGGGCUCGUAGGCGGUUUGUCGCGUCGGGAGUGAAAACCUACAGCUUAACUGUGGGCUUGCUUUCGAUACGGGCAGACUAGAGGUAUGCAGGGGAGAACGGAAUUCCUGGUGUAGCGGUGAAAUGCGCAGAUAUCAGGAGGAACACCGGUGGCGAAGGCGGUUCUCUGGGCAUGAUCUGACGCUGAGGAGCGAAAGUGUGGGGAGCGAACAGG